rnacentral:rRNA from 1 species
GCGAAGAACCGUACCAAGGCUUGACAUAUACAGGAAUAUGGCAGAGAUGUCAUAGCCGCAAGGUCUGUAUACAGCUGGUGCAUGGUUGUCGUCAGCUCGUGUCGUGAGAUGUUGGGUUAAGUCCCGCAACGAGCGCAACCCUCGUUCUGUGUUGCCAGCAUUAAGUUGGGGACUCACAGGAGACUGCCGGGGUUAACUCGGAGGAAGGUGGGGAUGACGUCAAAUCAUCAUGCCCCUUAUGUCUUGGGCUGCACGCAUGCUACAAUGGCUGGUACAAACGGCUGCGAUACCGCAAGGUGGAGCGAAUCCGAUAAAGCCAGUCUCAGUUCGGAUUGGGGUCUGCAACUCGACCCCAUGAAGUCGGAGUUGCUAGUAAUCGUAGAUCAGCAACGCUACGGUGAAUACGUUCCCGGGGCUUGUACACACCGCCCGUCACAUCACGAAAGUCGGUAACACCCAAAGUCAGUGGCCCAACCGUAAGGAGGGAGCUGUCGA